AUUUUGGACAAUGGGGGAAACCCUGAACCAGCCAUCCUGCGUGUGCGAUGCAGGCCCUCGGGUUGUAAAGCACUUUUGGCAGGGAAGAAAAGGCGCCGGAUAAUAUCUGGCGCUGCUGACGGUACCUGCAGCAUAAGCACCGGCUAACUACGUGCCAGCAGCCGCGGUAAUACGUAGGGUGCAAGCGUUAAUCGGAAUUACUGGGCGUAAAGCGUGCGCAGGCGGUUCAGAAAGAAAGAUGUGAAGUCCCAGGGCUUAACCUUGGAACUGCAUUUUUAACUGCCGGGCUAGAGUAUGUCAGAGGGGGGUAGAAUUCCACGUGUAGCAGUGAAAGGCGUAGAGAUGUGGAGGAAUACCGAUGGCGAAGGCAGCCCCCUGAGAUAAUACUGACGCUCAUGCACGAAAGCGUGGGGAGCAAAC
rnacentral:rRNA from 1 species